rnacentral:rRNA from 1 species
CCUACGGGAGGCAGCAGUGGGGAAUUUUGGACAAUGGGCGCAAGCCUGAUCCAGCAAUGCCGCGUGCAGGAUGAAGGCCUUCGGGUUGUAAACUGCUUUUGUACGGAACGAAACGGUCUGCCCUAAUACGGUGGGCUAAUGACGGUACCGUAAGAAUAAGCACCGGCUAACUACGUGCCAGCAGCCGCGGUAAUACGUAGGGUGCGAGCGUUAAUCGGAAUUACUGGGCGCAAAGCGUGCGCAGGCGGUUAUAUAAGACAGAUGUGAAAUCCCCGGGCUCAACCUGGGACCUGCAUUUGUGACUGUAUAGCUAGAGUACGGUAGAGGGGGAUGGAAUUCCGCGUGUAGCAGUGAAAUGCGUAGAUAUGCGGAGGAACACCGAUGGCGAAGGCAAUCCCCUGGACCUGUACUGACGCUCAUGCACGAAAGCGUGGGGAGCAAACAGGAUUAGAUACCCUGGUAGUCCACGCCCUAAACGAUGUCAACUGGUUNUUGGGUCUUCACUGACUCAGUAACGAAGCUAACGCGUGAAGUUGACCGCCUGGGGAGUACGGCCGCAAGGUUGAAACUCAAAGAGUAGUACGCGUGAGAGAGACGACGACGACGACGACGGAGGGAGGAG